rnacentral:tmRNA from 1 species
GGGGCCGACUGGUUUUGACAGCGGGAUCGAGGGUUAUGUAAGCAGGUCGAGCGUUUUGUGAUAUGGCUCGUAAAUACCAAUUCACAUUUUUUAAUUGGCGAAAAUAACUACGCUCUUGCAGCCUAAUCAACCAAGUUGAUUUUGCUUAAUCCAUCCCGCAAGGCGGGCGGACAAGAUGUUUUCGGGGGUACUUUUUCUGACAGUAAACCCAAUGAAGGCACUGACGAGUUCAGAAUAGGCGCGGGAAUACCUUGCACCAAGCCGAAAUAAAAAGGAUAAGCCGGGUAGUCGGUAGUCGAUGGCCAGCUCCCGGACGAAAACCAAGCAUCGUCUAAACCUGUAGAAAGCUUAAUGUUCGCCUGUUUGGACGAGGGUUCGAAUCCCUCCGGCUCCACAA